CUAUGGCCUCAGAUCAGACGUGGUGACCCACUGAAUUUAAGCAUAUUACUAAAUGGAGGAAAAGAAACUAACCAGGAUUCCCUUAUUAACGGCAAGUGAAGAGGGAAAAGCCCAGCGCUGAAUCCCCAUCCAGCAGCAGGCGUGGGAAAUGCGGCGUACAGAAAAGUCCCCGGCGUUGCUCAGGGGGGGCUCAAGUCCUUCUGAUAGAGGCUUACCCCGUGGAUGUUGUUAGGCCUGUAGCAAGCUCCGGCGCACCGGGAUCGGGUCUUCUCGGAGUUGGGUUGCUUGGUAAUGCGCGAGACAGAUGGCCAACAAGUACCGCAAGAGAAAGUUGAAAAGAAUUUUGAAGAGAGAGUUCAAGAGGGCGUGAAAUGGGUGGGGUCCGUGCAGUCCGACCUGCAGGGUUCAACACAGAGGGCAGGUUGGUCUCCUGGAAUGGCGGAUGACUUCGCAGGACUGCUGCCGGGGCACACAGGCCUGCGGAGGGCACAUUUCCUCUGUGACGGUCUCUGCACUGGCAGAGAGUUACAGCCCCCUGGCAGCAGUUUUGCUGUGUCUGCGGGGCCGAGGGAGAUUGGCCGUGGCCUUCUCCGGCAACCGACCGGCCCCUCCUGGGGGUUGCCAGGGCGGAGACAGGGCUCCCGAUGCAACUGUCGAUUGUGGUGGAAUGCCCUCAGUGCGCCCCAACCAUGUCGCUGAGCGGGGAGGCCCACGGAGGGUGCCAGGGGUCUGAGGUGAUGUUGGUUACCCACCCGAGCCAUCUUGAAACACGGACCAAGGAGUCUAAUACAUGCGCGAAUCGGAGGGUCGAACAAAACCCUGUGGUGGAAUGCAGUUGAGGGUUGACGCGCGCUGACUGGGGUGGGAUCCCAUCAUGGUGGGCGCCCCACAGACCCGUCUCUCAGGGAGGUGGAGCAUGGGCGUGUGUGUUAGGACCCGAAAGAUUAUGAAAUAGGACUGGGAAGGGCAAAGCGAGAAGAAACUGUUGGAGGUCCGUAGCGGUCCUGCUUGCAAUCGAUCGUCUGAACUGGCUAUAGGGGCAAAAGACUAAUCAAACCAUCUAGUAGCUGUUUCCCUCCGAAGUUUCCCUCAGGAUAGUUGGCGCACGGAAACCCCAGUUUUAUUUGGUAAAGCAAAUGAUUAGAGGUCUUGGUGCCGAAAUGAUCUCAACCUAUUCUCAAACUUUAAAAGGAAGACCGGCUCGCUGGCAUGGAGCCGGGCAUCGAAUGCAAGUGCCCAGUGGGCCACUUUUGGUAAGCAGAACUGACGCUGUGGGAUGAUCCGAGCGCUGGAUUAAGGCGCUUGAUGCGGACGCUAUCAGACCCCAGAAAAGGUGUUGAUUGAUAUGGACAGGACGGUGGCCAUGGAAGGCGGAAUCCUCGAAGGAGUGUGUAACAACUCACCUGCCGAAUCAACUAGCCCUGAAAAUGGAUGGCACUGGAGCUUCUGGCCCAUACCCGGCUGGUGCCAAGAGCUGUGGGGACUAAGCCGUGAUGAGUAGGAGGGCCGCUGCGGUGUGCACGGAAGCCUGGGGUGAGGGCCUGGGUGGAGCUGCUACAGAUUCAGAUCUUGGUGGUGGUAGCAAAUAUUCAAACAAGAACCUUGAAUGCCAAAGUGGAGAAGGUUUUCCAUGUGAACAGCAGUUGAACAUGGGUCAGUCCGCCCAAAAAGACAGUCAAGCGCCGCUCGGAAGGGAUGGGCGAUGGCCUCAGUUUCCCUGAGCAGGGGUUGAAACGGACUCCGGUUCAGAUCCCCCGAACCCGGCGUGGCGGUGACAUGCACCCUCACAAUGUCCAUUGCGGUAACACAAAUGAUCCCAGAGAAGCCGGCGGGAUCCCCAGGGAGAGUUCUGUUUUUUUAUGUAUUUUUUUUUUUUUUUUCAGGGCAGGGCACCCUGGAAUGGGUUUGCCCUGAGAGAGGGGGCCAAGCCUUGGAAAGCGUUGCCGUUCCGGCGGUGUCCGGUCAGCUCUCGCUGGCCCAUGAAAAUCAGGGGGAGAUGGUGUAAAUCUCACGCCAGGCCAUACCCAUUUUCCAAGUUGAGCCGCCUCUGGCAUGUUGGAACAAAGUAGGUAAGGGAAGUCGGCAAGUCGGACCCGUUACUUCGGGAUGGGCUGGGCCAGUCGUGCUGGGGGUGUGAAGCGGAGCUAGCCGCGGCUUGGUGAGGCUUCUCUCCCCCCUCAUCCCCUCCGGGCCAGUGCCGAAUCUGGAUGCGAGCCGGGCCCUUCCUGUGGAACAUACAGUGGUUCGCAUUUCUCUGUUCCCCUCCCGAGUUCGGGGCCAGUUUUCUGCCUCGGCUGACGCCUAGAAGCUGACUUAGAACUUGUGUGGACCAGGGGAAACCGACCGUUAAAAACAAAGCAUCACGUACGACCCACGGUAGGUGUUGACGUGAUAAUUCUGCCCAGUGCUCUGAAUGUCAAAGUGAAGAAAUUUAAAGAAGUGCGGGUAAACGGCGAGAAUAACUAUAACUCUCUUAAGGUAGCCAAAUGCCUCGUCAUCUAAUUAGUGAAGCGCAUAAAUGGAGCCAAGGGAACGGGCUGGGCAUAAUCAGUGGGGACAGAAGACCCCGUUGAGAUGUACUCGUCUGGCAAUGUGAAGACAUGAGAGGUGUAGGAUAAGUGGGAGGCCCUCGGGCCGCCGGUGACAUACCACUACUCUUAUUGUUUUUUCACUUAUCCACUUUUAGGGUGGGGGGGUGAGCUCUGUGGGGCUCUCGCUUCUGGCUCCAAACCUACUCCGGGGAAUGAGGCAGGUGGGGAGUUUGACAGGAAGGAUUUAUGUGAUCACUGCGCCGCCCGCAAUUGCGAUGCUGAAAAUGCUGACGGCAGUUACGGCGCGGCGCAGUGAUCAUAUGGUUCACUAUGCCCACUCCCAACACAAACACAUUUACCCACUUACCUUUAGGGUGCCACACUUCUGUGUUUGCUGCCCACACUCUGCGAUCCCUGCGGUGUCAGCUCCUCACUAACAUGGGUUGGAGCUGACGCCGCAGGGUGCUUUU
rnacentral:rRNA from 1 species